rnacentral:rRNA from 1 species
CCCUGUGGGUAUAUCACCCUGCAGCUCACCACUGGCAGCCCACUGCUAAGCAGGUGUGAGCCUGGUCAGUACCUGGAGGGGAGACCUCCUGGGAAAGCUGAGGUUGCUGCUGGAA